GAUGAACGCUGGCGGCGUGCUUAACACAUGCAAGUCGAACGGAAAGGCCCAAGCUUGCUUGGGUACUCGAGUGGCGAACGGGUGAGUAACACGUGGGUGAUCUGCCCUGCACUUCGGGAUAAGCCUGGGAAACUGGGUCUAAUACCGGAUAGGACCACUUCUUGGAUGUUGUGGUGGAAAGUUUUUUCGGUGUGGGAUGAGCUCGCGGCCUAUCAGCUUGUUGGUGGGGUAAUGGCCUACCAAGGCGUCGACGGGUAGCCGGCCUGAGAGGGUGUACGGCCACAUUGGGACUGAGAUACGGCCCAGACUCCUACGGGAGGCAGCAGUGGGGAAUAUUGCACAAUGGGCGCAAGCCUGAUGCAGCGACGCCGCGUGGGGGAUGACGGCCUUCGGGUUGUAAACUCCUUUCGCUAGGGACGAAGCGUUUUGUGACGGUACCUGGAGAAGAAGCUCCGGCUAACUACGUG
rnacentral:rRNA from 1 species